AUGUGGCUGUGCUUUCUCUGUCUGGCCUGGGUGACUUCUACUGUUGAUUUGAGUGAGGCCGUUUCUGUUAGUCAGCGGGAUCUUUCGCUAAUGCAGAUGGAGGGAGACAGUAUCACUUUGACCUGUACCUACACUGACGAUGGUUAUUACUUAUUCUGGUACCGUCAGUACCCAGGCAGACAGCCCGAGUUCACAGCCCGGCGCUACACGACUGGCAGUGCUGAAUUGAAGGCGGAUUUUGCUCAGACCCGGUUUUCUGAUGUAGUCCAGCAGAAAGACAAGUUGUAUCAAUUGACCAUCUCAGACCUGCAAUUGUCUGACGCAAUGGUCCAUUACUGUGCAAUGAGCCUCACAGUGAUAGGAACGAGUAAAAGCCUUGUACAAUAA